ensembl:lncRNA
ACAGGUACCCAUACUAAAAAGCAUCACUCCAUAUUUGUACUGGUAGAAAUUAGAAAUCAUGUGGAGGUUUAGCCAAAAACAACACAUUUAUUUGUCCUGUAACUGAGCAGUGAUGCUACAGAUUGCCUUCUCUUCAUUCAGCACAUCUCUUCUUGGACCCCUUUGUUAAAGCUUUCUGCACUAGAUACAAAUGGAUGUGAUGUCACAGCUUGGAUGACUGAAGUAAACCAGCUGGUAUAAAUAGAGUCAUUUUUCCAGGUGGCUGCAUACUCUUCCUAAGGCUCUAGGUGAGUUUACCCAGACCAGGUUCCUUCCAGUUGAUUUGGACAACAAUUUCCAUUUUCUCUAGCCAAUUAACAUAGUAUGGAGGGGGGCAAGAUUAGAGGAAGUGAAGGCUGGCAACUUCUCUCUCUGCAUUUCAACAAUUGCUUUUUCAUCCUUCCAGGUGUACAGUUGCUCAGCUCUGUGUAUGACUCUGCACUAACAGGAAAAGGAAGGACUUUGAGGUGAUGUCACAAGGCCUAGGAAGAGAAACAGGAUACACCAAGGUUAAGAAGACACGAUCAAAGCUGGGACAAUGAUAUUUUGCUACUGUAUGAAUUCUCCCUCAGCUGGCUUAAUCCUCUUCUUAGGGAGACCUGGUGCUGAAAGCCGAUCAUUUAGGUGGACUCUAAAUAAAGCCAGUAGCUUGAAUUCCUGCCACCAGCCCUUUUAUAAUGAAAAGGCUCUAAUGAAUGCUGGAUACAGUGGGGAACUGAGAACUCACUUUUAUGACUCCUAUGAUUCCCCGGCAAUAAUGAACUAAGGGAAGGCUUGUAACUGAGUUCUUCUAAUGGGGCCUUUGCUCCUGUAUAUUUCAUUACAAGUGGGGAAACCAGGAGGAUUGGAUGUCUGUCAGGGUUCACGUCGGCCCAGCAAUGGGAGGAGAAAAACAAAACGAAGCAUAAAGUGAGUGUUGAACGAGCUUUUCCCAGGAUCCCCAAGUGGGUUUCAUGUAUUGCCUAAUGCUGAAAAUGAGACAGAUUCAGCUUUCUCCACAGGUUGUAAAGGCUGAGUUAUCUUACCACUGCAAUUGUUUAGGACUACAAGUAAAUGCACAAAGCCACAGCCUUUUUCAAUCAUUCUUUAUCUAAGGGUCUAUUUUGUUUUCUUAAAACCCUUCUUUUUAUAUUUUGA